GGACUACCGGGGUAUCUAAUCCCAUUCGCGACCCACGCUUUCGUGUUUCAGCGUCAGGAGUGGUCCAGUCUCUUGCCUUCGCUUUCGGUGUUCCCCAUGAUAUCAACGCAUUUCACCGCUACACCAUGAGUUCCAGAGACCCCUACCAUCCUCAAGCAAUGCCGUUUCCCGCGCAGCCUCUAGGUUGAGCCCAGAGAUUUAACGUGAGACUAACAUCGCCGCCUACACACCCUUUACGCCCAAUGAUUCCGGAUAACGCUCGAAGCACUCGUAUUACCGCGGCUGCUGGCAC
rnacentral:rRNA from 1 species